AUGGAAAGUGAAAUACAGAUUCAUCUUUAUUAUAUAAAAAUAAAAAUAAAAAAGGCAUUCAUAAAGUUGGACAGGAAUAGUAUAGAAUCUACUUUGACAGAGUUGAAGAGUACAAUUAAUCUGGCAAGCAGAAGCAUCAAACACAUUACAUAUCAUAUGAUUGAAUAUUACAUUAACUUAUUUUAUUCUCUCUCACACAUCUUUUCUUUCUCUUAG